rnacentral:rRNA from 1 species
UAGCUCACUGGUCGAGUGGUUGUGCGCCGAUAAUGUAGCGGGGCUUAAGCGUGCCGCCGAAGCCGUGGCAAUAACUUUUUGUUUUUGGGUAGGGGAGCGUCCUGCUCUGGGUGAAGCUGCCUGGUGAUGGGUGGUGGACGGGGUGGGAGUGAGAAUGCAGGCAUGAGUAGCGUUUCGUGGGUGAGAAUCCUACGCGCUGAUUGACUAAGGGUUCCAGGGGCAGGUUUGUCCGCCCUGGGUUAGUCGGGUCCUAAGGCGAGGCCGACAGGCGUAGUCGAUGGGUGACCAGUUGAUAUUCUGGUACCGUUUGUUUUCCGUCUAACGCUGCAUGCUUUCGCGUCGUGUGCUUGCCGUGCGUGGUGUUGUCUUUCGGGAUGAUGCUGUUGUGUGGCUGUGUGUGGUGUGGGGUGUGUGGUGAGCAUUGGGGUGACGCAGGGAGGUAGUUGCUGCACACUGGUGGUUAUGUGUGUCUAAGGUUGUGGCCUGUUUCUUGGGUGAAAUCCGGGAAGCUGCGUUUGAUCGCGUGGGUGAGGGCUGAUGGGGCUGCCUGUUGGGGUGGCUAGUGGUGAUCCUGUACUGCCGAGAAAAGCCUGGAUGUGAGGAAGAUGAGCGCCCGUACCCUAAACCGACUCUGGUGGUCAGGUAGAGUAUACCGAGGCGUGCGAGUGAAUCAUGGUUAAGGAAUUCGGCAAAUUGCCCCCGUAACUUUGGGAUAAGGGGGGCCCUGCUGGUGUGCCUGCUUUUGCGUGGGUGGUGCUGGUUGGGGUCGCAGAGAAUUGGGAGAAGCGACUGUUUAUUAAAAACAUAGGUGUGUGCUAAGCCGUAAGGCGCUGUAUACGCACUGACGCCUGCCCGGUGCUGGAAGGUUAAGAGGACGACUUAACUGCUUUUUUGUGGUGAAGGUUUGAAUUUAAGCCCCAGUAAACGGCGGUGGUAACUAUAACCAUCCUAAGGUAGCGAAAUUCCUUGUCGGGUAAGUUCCGACCUGCACGAAUGGCGUAACGACUUCUCCGCUGUCUCGACCGUGAUCUCGGUGAAAUUGCAGUACGAGUAAAGAUGCUCGUUUCGCGCAGCAGGACGGAAAGACCCCGGGACCUUUACUAUAGCUUGGUAUUGGUGUGUGUUUGUGCUUGUGUAGGAUAGGUGGGAGACUGUGAUGCCGUGCCGCUAGGUGUGGUGGAGUCGUUGGUGAAAUACCAUUCUGGUUCAAGUAUGCAUCUAACUUGGAGCCCUGAUCGGGUUUGGGGACAGUGCCUGGUGGGUAGUUUAACUGGGGCGGUUGCCUCCUAAAGGGUAACGGAGGCGCUCAAAGGUUCUCUCAGCCUGGUUGGUGAUCAGGUGGUGAGUGUAAGUGCACAAGAGGGCUUGACUGUGACACUGACGGGUGGAGCAGGUACGAAAGUAGGAACUAGUGAUCCGGCCAUGGCUUGUGGAAGCGUGGUCGCUCAACGGAUAAAAGGUACCCCGGGGAUAACAGGCUGAUCUUGCCCAAGAGUCCAUAUCGACGGCAUGGUUUGGCACCUCGAUGUCGGCUCGUCGCAUCCUGGGGCUGGAGUUGGUCCCAAGGGUUGGGCUGUUCGCCCAUUAAAGCGGUACGCGAGCUGGGUUCAGAACGUCGUGAGACAGUUCGGUCCCUAUCCUCUGUGCGCGUAGGAAACUUGCGGAGGCCCGUCCCUAGUACGAGAGGACCGGGAUGGACGAACCUCUGGUGUGCCAGUUGUACUGCCAGGUGCAUUGCUGGUUGGCUACGUUCGGUUGGGAUAACCGCUGAAAGCAUCUAAGCGGGAAGCUUUCUUCGAGAUGAGGUUUCCGUGCCCCCCUUUUU